UCCGUAGGUGAACCUGCGGAAGGAUCAUUAUUAAAACAAAUCUGCAGUUCAGGUUCGCCCUGCUGUAGUGUUUAAACCAACUGUGAAUCUAAACCAUUACGCUUCGGUAGCGGGUGGGUUUUAUUACCCACUUGUCAGCCUACCGGUAGCACCAAAACCAAACCUGUUUUAAAAACACAUGUCUGAAAAUUAUCAUUUACGAAUGAAAAUUAAAACUUUCAACAACGGAUCUCUUGGUUCUCGCAUCGAUGAAGAACGCAGCGAAACGCGAUAGUUAAUGUGAAUUGCAGAAUUCAGUGAAUCAUCGAGUCUUUGAACGCACAUUGCGCCCAUCGGUAUUCCUUUGGGCAUGUCUGUUUGAGCGUCAUUUCAACACUCCAGCCGAAAAUUUAUGUUUUCGAUUGGGUUUUGAGCUCGGUUAUGAGGGGUGAUUCCCUAAACCGGCUUUAAAGUUGAACGCUCUGCGGGUGACUUUCAACCUGACCGAACAUAGUAAAAUUCUUUAUCGUUGUUCAACUUGGUUUUCAGUUAUACUCAGCCUGAAUAAAAACUUUUAAUCAAAGGUUUGACCUCAGAUCAGACAAGGAUACCCGCUGAACUUAAGCAUAUCAAUAAGGCGGGAGGGGAAGGUCGGACUGGCCAAGGGCACACAGGGGGGGAUA
rnacentral:rRNA from 1 species